GAGAACAGAAGUGUUUUUUAGAUAGCAAG
rnacentral:piRNA from 1 species